GAUGAAGAACGUAGCGAAAUGCGAUACGUAAUGUGAAUUGCAGAAUUCAGUGAAUCAUCGAAUCUUUGAACGCAUAUUGCGCUCUCUGGUAUUCCGGAGAGCAUGCUUGUUUGAGUAUCAGUAAACACCUCAACUCGCUUUUCUUUUUUGAAAUUGGAGCUGGACUUGAGUGAUCCCAACGCUUUCUUCCAAGAAAGUGGCGGGUUGCUUGAAAUGCAGGUGCAGCUGAACUUUUCUCUGAGCUAUAAGCAUAUCUAUUUAGUCUGCCUAAAAAACAGAUUAUUACCUUUGCUGCAGCUAACAUAAAGGAGACUAGUUCUUGUGCUGACUGAUGCAGGAUUCACAGAGACAGCUUCGGCUGACUUUGUAAACUCGAUCUCAAAUCAAGUAAGACUACCCGCUGAACUUAAGCAUAUCAAUAAGCGGAGGA
rnacentral:misc_RNA from 1 species